rnacentral:rRNA from 1 species
UACAGGGAGGGCUAGUGUCGCUCGGAAUCACUGGGCGUAAAGCGCACGUAGGCGGCUUUUUAAGUCAGGGGUGAAAUCCUGGAGCUCAACUCCAGAACUGCCUUUGAUACUGAGAAGCUUGAGUCCGGAAGAGGUGAGUGGAACUGCGAGUGUAGAGGUGAAAUUCGUAGAUAUUCGCAAGAACACCAGUGGCGAAGGCGGCUCACUGGCCCGGUACUGACGCUGAGGUGCGAAAGCGUGGGGAGCAAACAGG